UUGAACGCACAUUGCGCCCUGUGGUAUUCCGCAGGGCAUGCCUGUUCGAGCGUCAUUUAACCACUCACGCCUAGCGUGGUAUUGGGGCACGCGGUCUCCGCGGCCCUCAAAAUUAGUGGCGGUGCCGGUGGGCUCUAAGCGUAGUACAUACUCCCGCUAUAGAGUUCCCCCCGGUGGCUCGCCAGAACCCCCAAUUUUUACAGGUUGACCUCGGAUCAGGUAGGGAUACCCGCUGAACUUAAGCAUAUCAAUAAGCGGAGGAAAAGAAACCAACAGGGAUUACCUCAGUAACGGCGAGUGAAGCGGUAACAGCUCAAAUUUGAAAGCUGCCAACAGGCCGCGUUGUAAUUUGUAGAAGCUGCUUUGGGUGUCGGCCCGGUCUAAGUUCCUUGGAACAGGACGUCAUAGAGGGUGAGGAUCCCGUAUGUGAUCGGUGCCGUUGCCCGUGUAAAGCGCUUUCGACGAGUCGAGUUGUUUGGGAAUGCAGCUCAAAAUGGGUGGUAAAUUUCAUCUAAAGCUAAAUAUUGGCCAGAGACCGAUAGCGCACAAGUAGAGUGAUCGAAAGAUGAAAAGCACUUUGGAAAGAGAGUUAAACAGUACGUGAAAUUGUUGAAAGGGAAGCGCUUGCAACCAGACUUGCGGGCGGUCGAUCAUCCGAGGUUCUCCCCGGUGCACUCGAUCGUUCUCAGGCCAGCAUCGGUUUCCGGGGUGGGAUAAAGGCGGUGGGAAUGUGGCUCUUCGGAGUGUUAUAGCCCAGCCGUGCAAUGCCGCCACUGGGGACCGAGGACCGCGCUUCGGCUAGGAUGCUGGCGUAAUGGU
rnacentral:rRNA from 1 species